rnacentral:rRNA from 1 species
CGGAUCGGAGUCUGCAACCCGACUCCGUGAAGCUGGAUUCGCUAGUAAUCGCGCAUCAGCCAUGGCGCGGUGAAUACGUUCCCGGGCCUUGUACACACCGCCCGUCAAGCCAUGGGAGCCGGGGGUACCUGAAGUGCGUAACCGCGAGGAGCGCCCUAGGGUAAAACUGGUGACUGGGGCCAAGUCGUAACAAGGUAUC